rnacentral:rRNA from 1 species
GACGAACGCUGGCGGCGUGCCUAAUACAUGCAAGUUGAGCGCUGAAGGUUGGUACUUGUACCGACUGGAUGAGCAGCGAACGGGUGAGUAACGCGUGGGGAAUCUGCCUUUGAGCGGGGGACAACAUUUGGAAACGAAUGCUAAUACCGCAUAAAAACUUUAAACACAAGUUUUAAGUUUGAAAGAUGCAAUUGCAUCACUCAAAGAUGAUCCCGCGUUGUAUUAGCUAGUUGGUGAGGUAAAGGCUCACCAAGGCGAUGGUACAUAGCCGACCUGAGAGGGUGGUCGGCCAAAUUGGGACUGAGACACGGCCCAAACUCCUACGGGAGGCAGCAGUAGGGAAUCUUCGGCAAUGGACGAAAGUCUGACCGAGCAACGCCGCGUGAGUGAAGAAGGUUUUCGGAUCGUAAAACUCUGUUGGUAGAGAAGAACGUUGGUGAGAGUGGAAAGCUCAUCAAGUGACGGUAACUACCCAGAAAGGGACGGCUAACUACGUG